GAAAUGCGAUAAGUAAUGUGAAUUGCAGAAUUCAGUGAAUCAUCGAAUCUUUGAACGCACAUUGCGCCCGCCAGUAUUCUGGCGGGCAUGCCUGUUCGAGCGUCAUUUCAACCAUCAAGCCCCCGGCUUCUGUUGGGGACCUGCGGCUGCCCGCAGGCCCUGAAAAACAGUGGCGGGCUCGCUGUCACACCGAGCGUAGUAGCAUACAUUCUCGCUCAGGGCGUGCUGCGGGUUCCGGCCGUUAAACGACCUUCAUAACCCAAGGUUGACCUCGGAUCAGGUAGGAAGACCCGCUGAACUUAAGC
rnacentral:misc_RNA from 1 species